rnacentral:snRNA from 1 species
UGCGAGAGAAAUCUUAGAUAUAA